rnacentral:rRNA from 1 species
CAUGGGCAGGUUGAAGGUUGGGUAACACUAACUGGAGGACCGAACCGACUAAUGUUGAAAAAUUAGCGGAUGACUUGUGGCUGGGGGGGAAAGGCCAAUCAAACCGGGAGAUAGCUGGUUCUCCCCGAAAGCUAUUUAGGUAGCGCCUCGUGAAUUCAUCUCCGGGGGUAGAGCACUGUUUCGGCAAGGGGGUCAUCCCGACUUACCAACCCGAUGCAAACUGCGAAUACCGGAGAAUGUUAUCACGGGAGACACACGGCGGGUGCUAACGUCCGUCGUGAAGAGGGAAACAACCCAGACCGCCAGCUAAGGUCCCAAAGUCAUGGUUAAGUGGGAAACGAUGUGGGAAGGCCCAGACAGCCAGGAUGUUGGCUUAGAAGCAGCCAUCAUUUAAAGAAAGCGUAAUAGCUCACUGGUCGAGUCGGCCUGCGCGGAAGAUGUAACGGGGCUAAACCAUGCACCGAAGCUGCGGCAGCGACGCUUAUGCGUUGUU